rfam:Pyronema omphalodes CBS 100304, CBS100304, WGS project CATG01000000 data, contig: Pcon_v1_contig303
UCCGAUAUGGUGUAGGGGUUAGCAUUGGUCGCUUUCAUUUAGAGUGCCGACUAGACCCGGGUUCGAUUCCCGGUAUCGGAA